GGCCAUUUCAGUUUCUUCCUCAAAUACUCCUACUUCGUAUUUUUUCACUAAUUAAAUUAAGAUCGGUGAAUUGAUGUGUUGGUGUUGAAAUUGAGUGAAGGAAGUUAGGGUUUUGGGGUGUUAAUUGGGCGAUCGAGGUUUUUAUCGGGGUUCUAGGGUUGAAGAAAAUUGGGGAUUUUGGUUUUGUUUGAGGAAUUGGAUGGUUUAAUUGAUGGUUGAGAGUGAAGUAAGUGGGGAAAAUGCAAGGGGAGUUCUAUUAUGCAUGGGAGGAUACAGAGGGAACAAGGUCAGGUUUGUAAAAAGGGGAGUGGAAGCGGUGGUCAGCACAUGCCGGCGACGACUACAAGGAGGACUGUAGACGUCGGUGGUUCAUCUAUUGUUAAUACUGUUACUGCUGAUUCCUUCUGUAAGUGAAUGUCAUCCUCUCUGCAGGAUGGUCGCAAAAUUCGUGUGGGAGAUUGCGCUUUGUUCAAACCACCACAUGAUUCACCGCCUUUCAUUGGAAUAAUACGUAGGCUUAGAUUGGGUAAAGAUAAUAACUUGCAAUUAGGUCUUAAUUGGCUCUAUCGUCCUGCUGAGCUGAAGCUUAGCAAGGGCAUCUUGCUGGACACCACGCCCAACGAAAUCUUUUAUUCCUUCCAUAGGGAUGAGACUCCAGCUGCAUCAUUACUCCAUCCAUGUAAAGUUGCAUUCCUUCCUAAAGGGGCUGAACUUCCAACAGGGAUAUCUUCAUUUGUCUGUAGGCGGGUUUAUGACAUUUCAAACAAGUGCUUACGUUGGUUAACUGAUCGAGAUUAUAAUAACGAACAACAAAAAGAGGUAGAUCAGCUGUUAUACAAGACACAAGUAGAGAUGCAUGCAACAGUGCAGCCGGGUGGUCGUUCUCCUAAACCGAUGAAUGGUUCUAUAUCGUCGUCACAAUUGAAAACUGGUUCUGAUAAUAUACAAAGUAGUGUAGCUUCUUUUCCUUCACAAGUCAAGGGAAAGAAAAGGGAGCGAGGAGAACAGGGCUCUGAGUCCAUCAAACGGGAACGUUCAGUUAAAUCUGAUGAUAGUGAAAGCGUCUUAAAAUCUGAAAUUUCUAAAAUAACAGAGGAAGGAGGACUUGUGGACUGUGAAGGGGCUGCAAAGCUUGUUCAGCUCAUGCAACCGGAUAGAGUGGACAGGAAAAUGGAUUUGACUAGUCGUUCGAUGCUUGCAAGUGUUGUUGCUGCAACCGACAAAUUUGAUUGCCUUGCUAGGUUUGUACAGUUAAAGGGUUUGCCUGUGUUAGAUGGAUGGCUUCAAGAUGUUCAUAGAGGGAGGAUUGUUGAAGUUAGUAAUAGUAAGGACGGUGAUAUCUCCAUUGAGGAAUUUCUCUUGGUUUUGCUUCGAGCACUCGAUAGGCUUCCUGUGAAUCUUCAAGCACUACAGAUGUGCAAUAUUGGUAAAUCUGUUAAUCACUUGCGCCAACAUAAAAACAUGGAGAUUCAGAGGAAGGCGCGAAGCUUAGUUGACACAUGGAAGAAACGCGUCGAAGCUGAAAUGAACAUGAUUGAUUCUAAGUCUGGCUCAAAUCAAGCUGUCACGUGGCCCUCUAAAGCACGACUGCCUGAGGCUUCUCAUAGUGGUGAGAAAAAUGCUGGUGGUUCCACUGAUGCAACAAGGAGCUCAGUUACACAGUUUUCUGCAUCCAAGACAACCUCAAUCAAGCCUACACCAGUGGAAACUAAUAUGAAGUCUGCAUGCUCUUCUCCAGGCCCAAUAAAACAAGCAUCACCUCCUUCAUCCGGAAAAGUGGGUCAGCCAAGAAUUUCAGCUUUUGGUUCCAGUGAUGUUCCUCUGGCUAGGGAAGAUAAGAGCAGCAGUUCUAGUCAGUCUCACAAUCACAGUCAGUCCUUAUCAGGGAAGGAGGAUGCAAGGAGUUCAACUGCUGUUUCAAUGAGCAGCAUCAAGAUCUCUAGUGGUGGUUCUCGGCACCGCAAGUCGAUAAAUGGUGGUCCUGGACCAUCGGUUUCUGCAGGUCAAAAAGAAGGUUCUACAAACAGAAGUUCUUCAUUGCACCGGAAUCCUACCACUGAGAAGCCGCUGCAGUCUGCAUUGAGUGGUGAAAAAACGGUUGAUGUGCCAGCUGUAGAAGGGAGUUGUCACAAAUUGAUAGUAAAGAUACCAAACAAAGGCCGCAGUCCUACGCGGAGUGUCAGUGGAGGAUCAUGUGAAGACCCUUCAAUCAUGAGCAGCCGAGCUUCUUCUCCUGUGCUUUCUGAAAAGAAUGAUCAGCUUGAUCGUAAUUCUAAGGAGAAGAAAGAUGCAUAUCGAUCAGAUGUUACUAUUAACGUGAAUACAGAAUCAUGGCAGAGCAAUGUUUUGAAAGAUGUACUCAC
rnacentral:misc_RNA from 1 species